UGGGGAAUUUUGGACAAUGGGCGCAAGCCUGAUCCAGCAAUGCCGCGUGCAGGAUGAAGGCCUUCGGGUUGUAAAGCUCUUUCAGGUGGAAAGAAAACGCAUAGGUUAAUACCUUGUGCGGAUGACGGUACCAUCAGAAGAAGCACCGGCUAACUACGUGCCAGCAGCCGCGGUAAUACGUAGGGUGCGAGCGUUAAUCGGAAUUACUGGGCGUAAAGCGUGCGCAGGCGGUUUAGUAAGACAGGCGUGAAAUCCCCGGGCUCAACCUGGGAACUGCGCUUGUGACUGCUAAGCUAGAGUACGGCAGAGGGGGGUGGAAUUCCACGUGUAGCAGUGAAAUGCGUAGAGAUGUGGAGGAACACCAAUGGCGAAGGCAGCCCCCUGGGUCGAUACUGACGCUCAUGCACGAAAGCGUGGGGAGCAAACA
rnacentral:rRNA from 1 species